CUUUUGAUGAUCCACUAGACAAUUUUGAUGCAUGUGUAGGAAUCAGCGGGAUCUAUGUUCCAGGUUCUAGAGGCCUAUUUGCCAAAUACGGCUGGAUUUUACAUCUUUCACUAGGACGCAGCCCACAGCCGGAACUUGUUUGGAUAAUUUUCGAGUCGGUGGCGCAACAACUGUGGUGCCCGUUACUUGUCCGUCUGUUCGGUCAUCAAUGGCGGUGACGGCUUCUCGAUAACCAGCCUCUGUGAGACAUGGGACGACUGGCUUUAAUGCUAUUUCCGCAGUCCAAAACGCAAUAGCACUUGCCGCUGCGAAUUCUAAUGUGGGCACAACUGUCACCAUCACUGCUGGAGAUACUUUUAUCGCGGCAUAAUUGUACGAUUUCCUUCUUAUCGGAGAUGGUCGAGAUGUCAGCGGAAGCACGGUUGACCGUUAUUGCGGAAAUAAACUGAACCCAUUAGCGGGUACUCAUUAGUUGCCAGGAUUAGGCACUAGCAAUCCCAGUGUGCUAUACCAGAGCUCCGAUGAAACCGUUUCGUGAUCUAAUACUAAGCAGACGGGAUUGAAGCGGAUGAUUUCACCAGCGAUUCCACCAGUCAAUGAUUAAACCAGCGAUUCCAGCCUUCGCCAGAAGUGAUAUCUUGAACACUGGAUUUUGUCUUGAUUAUUAAGUGCUUUAAAUGAAAUCUUGGCGUUGUGAAUCUUGUAUUGUUUAUAACCCGCAUUGUGUUGCGUAUAAUUGUUCUUGGGAUUCUUUGCACUAGCAAUCAAAUUAUGUCACUAGCAUGGAGUAG